ACUCAAAUGAAUUGACGGGGGCCCGCACAAGCAGUGGAUUAUGUGGUUUAAUUCGAAGCAACGCGAAGAACCUUACCAGGUCUUGACAUACCCUGAGUAGCAUGGAGACAUGUGAUGCCCUUUUGGGCAGGGAUACAGGUGGUGCAUGGUUGUCGUCAGCUCGUGUCGUGAGAUGUUGGGUUAAGUCCCGCAACGAGCGCAACCCUUACUAUUAGUUGCUACGCGAGAGCACUCUAAUGGGACUGCCGUUGACAAAACGGAGGAAGGUGGGGAUGACGUCAAAUCAUCAUGCCCUUUAUGACCUGGGCUACACACGUAAUACAAUGGUACUGUAACAGAGGGAAGCAAAGCCGCGAGGCGGAGCAAACCCCUAAAAAGUAUCUCAGUUCGGAUUGCAGGCUGCAACCCGCCUGCAUGAAGUCGGAAUUGCUAGUAAUCGUGGAUCAUCAUGCCACGGUGAAUACGUUCCCGGGCCUUGUACACACCGCCCGU
rnacentral:rRNA from 1 species